UCCUGUAAGUUUUAUCCCAGGCAAAUAGAAAAAGCCAAAACACAUUAUGAAACCCUAAAUUGUAGAAACAUUUUAUAACUUUGAAAUGUGUAAAUUACUUAUGAUUGAAUUCCUAACCCUAUAUUCCUAUAUUCAUCAUUUUGAAUGUUCCAGAUAUCUUUCGUGUUUUAACAUUUGCUACAAGAUUUCCAGACAGUGCCUGAUAUAUGGAAUGUCUGUGUCCAGGAGAAUGUCAAUUAUUCCACUGAAUAACCCAAUGUAGCAGAUGCCAUUCUAGGCACUUUGGAGUAUCAGGGAACAACAGGAUACCAGUGCUUCAGAAUGGAAAUGUGACUACUUUAGAUGAGAUGCCAAGUUCAUUUAAUCAUUUAGGUACUCAUAUAUUUAAAAAAAAGAAAAAAGUGUGUCUGCUUUCUAUGUGUCAGAUGCUACAGUGGGAGCUCAAGAUAAAGUGGGAAACAAGAUCCACAAAGUCCUGUCCUUACGCAGUUUACAUUCAAAUAUGGUAUUGUGUCCUCUGUAAAUUUAAGCCAAAUACUUCCACCAGCAAUGUUGAUUUUCUGGUAACAGUCAUGAACUCAUCCUGCCUGGUAACAUGGCAUUUUAUGAUAUACGAAUUCCCAUCUUCCCUGCUAUAUCAAG